rnacentral:rRNA from 1 species
UUUGCCCUACCUCUAGCCCAACCAACAAAUCUUCAAAAAAUCCAAAAUCACCUCACACAGUUUAAUUAAAACAUUUAAUCUUAUCCUAGUAUAGGCGAUAGAACCGACCCGAGGCGCAAUAGAGACCAACCGUACCGUAAGGGAAAGAUGAAAUAACAAUGAAAAACACAAGCAAAAAGCAGUAAAGACAAACCCUUGUACCUCUUGCAUCAUGAUUUAGCAAGAACAACCAAGCAAAGCGGACUAAAGCUU